UACGUAGGGGGCGAGCGUUGUCCGGAAUCAUUGGGCGGAAAGCGCGUGUAGGCGGUUCGGUAAGUCUGCUGUGAAAGUCCAGGGCUCAACCCUGGGAUGCCGGUGGAUACUGCCGAACUAGAGUGCGGAAGAGGCGAGUGGAAUUCCCGGUGUAGCGGUGAAAUGCGCAGAUAUCGGGAGGAACACCAAUUGCGAAGGCAGCUCGCUGGGACGUUACUGACGCUGAGACGCGAAAGCGUGGGGAGCAAACAGG
rnacentral:rRNA from 1 species